rnacentral:rRNA from 1 species
UACGGGGGGGGCAAGCGUUGUUCGGAAUUACUGGGCGUAAAGGGCUUGUAGGUGGCCAACUAAGUCAGACGUGAAAUCCCUCGGCUUAACCGGGGAACUGCGUCUGAUACUGGAUGGCUGGAGUGUGGGAGAGGGAUGCGGAAUUCCAGGUGUAGCGGUGAAAUGCGUAGAUAUCUGGAGGAACACCGGUGGCGAAGGCGGCAUCCUGGACCAUUACUGACGCUGAAAAGCGAAAGCCAGGGGAGCAAACGGG